rnacentral:tmRNA from 1 species
GGGGCUGACUUGGAUUUCGACAGAUUUCUUGUCGCACAGAUAGCAUGCCAAGUGCUGCUUGUAAAACAGCAACAAAAAUAACUGUAAACAACGCAGAUUACGCUCCAGCUUACGCUAAAGCUGCGUGAGUUAAUCUCCUUUUGGAGCUGGACUGAUUAGAAUUUCUAGCGUUUUAAUCACUCCAUAACCUUAAGCUAGACGCUUUUAAAAGGUGGUUCGCCUUUUAAACUAAGAAACAAGAACUCUUGAAACUAUCUCAAGGUUUUAGAAAGUUGGACCAGAGCUAGUUUUAAGGCUAAAAAACUAACCAAUUUUCUAAGCAUUGUAGAAGUUUGUGUUUAGGACAAGAUUUUUGGACUGGGGUUCGAUUCCCCACAGCUCCACCA